CUCUUACUUGUUUCGCAUUUUAAUCUCGAAGUCCGCCCGGACGCCGGCCGUGGUCAACAUGCGUCUCCUGCUGCACAUUUUACUGAUGGCGGCCGUUGUGACAUUCGCCGCUGCGCUCAGCUGCAUGGAGUGCACCGCCCGAACGGCGCAUGAAAUGCACCCAGGACAGACUCACAGAGGCGCAGUGCGGAGGCUGGGGUAUCCAUCCGUCUAUGUGUCUCUGCGGUUGUCCGGUUUGUGCCAAGAAGAGGGGAGAGCGUUGCAACGGUCCCUUGGGUAUGGCUGGCAAGUGCGGCAGAUUUCUGAGGUGCAAGCUUCCACCAGGCCAUGCCUCGUUUCAGGCGGUGGGAACUUGCGUGUGGGCUGUCUAACACGAAGGAUGAAGCAUGUCGACAUUGGCUGCUUGCGCAGCGCGGGAAGAGAAACGGGACAUUUUUCAAUUGAGCCAAGAAUCCGUGUGCUGCCGCAAGCACACUGAAUUGUCCGUGUGCGGGCACUACGACGGAACGGCCGGCAUUACUGCUGUGUGUGUCGGGUGCGAAGCGUAACUCGAAGCUUAGAUCCAAGAAUAUUUGUGUUUGGUUUCUAUAGUUAUCCCAUCGCUUGUGCUCGACGCUUUCUUUCUCCAGCAAAGAAUAUAUCGUUGAACAAC